rnacentral:rRNA from 1 species
GAUGAACGCUGGCGGCGUGCUUAACACAUGCAAGUCGAACGAACAGGCCCUGAUUUUGUGGGGUGCUCGUGUGGCGAACGGGUGAGUAUCACGCGUGUAUAAUGCACUUAUCUUUGGGAUAACUUUUGGAAACUCGGGCUCUAACCGGAUAGGAGCUACUGAUGCGUGGUGUGGAUUGGUAAGUUUCGGCGGUUGGGUCUGGUCUCGCGGCUUAUCAGCUUGUUGGUGGGGUUGUGGCUUACCAAGGCUGUGACGGGUAGCCGGCCUGAGAGGGUGACCGGCCACAUUGGGACUGAGAUACGGCCCAGACGCCUACGGGAGGCAGCAGUGGGGAAUAUUGCACAAUGGGCGGAAGCCUGAUGCAGCAACGCCGCGAGCGUGAUGACGGCCUUCGGGGUGUAAACCGCUGUCGCCUGUGACGAAGCGUGAGUGACGGUAAUGGGUAAAGAAGCACCGGCUAACUACGUG